rnacentral:rRNA from 1 species
UACGGAGGGGGCGAGCGUUAUUCGGAAUUAUUGGGCGUAAAGGGCGCGUAGGCGGCCCGGUAAGUCAAAGGUGAAAUCCCUCGGCUCAACUGAGGAACUGCCUUUGAAACUGUCGGGCUUGAGGCCGGGAGGGGGUAGCGGAAUUCCCAGUGUAGCGGUGAAAUGCGUAGAUAUCAGGAGGAACACCGGUGGCGAAGGCGGGUCUCUGGGCCGAUACUGACGCUGAGGAGCGAAAGCGUGGGGAGCGAACAGG